rnacentral:lncRNA from 1 species
UACCACUUAUUUCUCAACGGAUGCCAAUAGCUUUUGAGGUUGGAAAGAAUUUACUCAGGAAUGCUCUUACCAUACCAGCCCAUGAUGUGAUGGAUCCGGGUGGCAAGUAGAAUAGCCAGUCUUUGGCAUAGUCAUCAAGGGAAAAAGGGAAGGCUCUAAGUUUAACAUGCUCUUCUGAAAUACCUUGGGGUCUCAUGGUUGAGCACACAAUGUGGAAUUCCUUCAAAUGCUUGUGAGGGUCCUCAUUUUCUAGGCCUCUAAAUUUGGGAAGGAGAUGGAUCAGACCUGUCUUUAAUUCAAAGGGUGCUGUCAGUGGGGGAUAAGUAAUGCAUAAUGGUGCUUGAUCUCCUGCUGGUACAGCUAGCUCGCGGAGUGUUCUCUCCCGUGGCUGUGGUGCACGGAUGGGCACGUAUUCAGCUUCAGCUUCAACUUCUUCA